CUAUUUACCCUAUAUAAUGUAAUUAGCAAAGCUUUCUUUAUCAGUUUAUAGUAGAGCGUAUAAUACAUGUACCAAGGAGACCGGGAACACUCACGGGCCUAUUGUCAGACCGAGCGGUCAGACAUUCUUAUACGUCAGUCCUUUCUCUUUAUAAAAUUGGGUCGAGGGUCCAGAUCAGAAAAAAAUGCUGGUUUUGGUCCCCUAUAAAUUUGAUUAUUUCACUUGUGGUCAAGGUAUCAACUUUCCACUUACAUAUUCCUUUUGAAAUAGUGAAAUUGAGAGCAAAAGUGAGCGUGACUACGUUUUAUUGCCCCGGAUGAAGGCUCUGCAGAAAGGAGUGAACCUGAUUUGUUGAACAUGGUGGAUAAAGCUGACAUCUCGUUGACUCUUCCAAGAAAAAAUGGCCCUUCUAAAUCCAAGUCAUAUAAAAAUGAGGGAACUUUCAAAAGGAAAAAGAAUUUAAAGCGUAGUCAGAAUAUUGAUAUUGAAGAUGAAAUGGUGGAUGAACAUGGUAUUCAUGAGGAGGAUGAAUAAGUAGAACUUGAACCAAGUACUUGGUUAGAAGAUAAAGAGAAAGAGACGAUGAAAGAUGACAAUCUGAUGGAGAGUUCUAAUGGAGAAAAACACAUCUCCAUUAAAGAUCAGACAAACAAAAGUGUUGGUAUUGUUGCUGAUGGGUCUGUUGAUGCAUCAUUGCAGACAACGCCAAAGUCAAAAUCAAAGACUUCUGAUGAACAAAAUGAGGCUGGAAAAUCUGAAAAUCCAGAUAAAGGUGACAGUCUCCAUAUAUAUGAGACACCAGUGAAGGAGUAUGAUGUGGAUUUCCAUCUUGUGGCCGGCACUAAGUGGAGCGGUGGGUGUCUCCACAUCGAGGACCCGCCAUCUCUCAAGCAUUUCUACCUAGAGUGACAAGGCCAACUGUAGUGAUUUGUCCGCAGUCUUCUCUCCCAUCAAAGAUCUAAAGAAUAUGGAAGGGGAAGAUAAAAAAAACUGCAACACUUCCUGUUAAAAGGAAGAUUUCUGGUGACUUUGAGAACAGGAAGAGGAAAUGACUGAGUGAACCAGCGUCCAGGAAACGCAGACGGAGGUGAUGGCCGCUUUCCUUUAGAAAGUUGUUCCAAGUACAGGACAUUAUGUGAAUUUUCAGAUGUUCUAAUCUAUUAACUGUAUCUCACAAGUACAAUAACAUAUAUUUAUAUAUAUAUAUAUUAAUUGGACUAGGUGUUUUUGUAUAUUUAAGUACAUGCAUUAUUUUGAAAAAGGUUAUAAAUAAUUUUGACAUAUAAAUACUUCUCAAUUCCGUAUUUGUCAUUCAUUUUAAAAAUUUUAGUGCAAUACCAAUAGAACACUAUGCAUGUAUAUUUUGUCAAAAAAAUCUUAUGCAUUAAAAAUAUUGAAAUUUUUUAAUUGUUCUGUAGAUCCCAAGGAUUGGGAAACUUUGGGUUGAGUUUGUUUUUUAAAAAUCUUAAUGUUUUGAAGAUUAAGAUACAAUAAAUCUUGGACAUUUAGUUGAAAAAAAAAUCAUUAAAAACAAAUAAAAACUCAACUUACUCGACAAU